GAUGAAAGAACGUAGCGAAAUGCGAUAAGUAAUGUGAAUUGCAGAAUUCAGUGAAUCAUCGAAUCUUUGAACGCACAUUGCGCCCGCCAGUAUUCUGGCGGGCAUGCCUGUCUGAGCGUCAUUUCAACCCUCAUGCCCCUAGGGCGUGGUGUUGGGGAUCGGCCAAAGCCCGCGAGGGACGGCCGGCCCCUAAAUCUAGUGGCGGACCCGUCGUGGCCUCCUCUGCGAAGUAGUGAUAUUCCGCAUCGGAGAGCGAUGAGCCCCUGCCGUUAAACCCCCAACUUUCCAAGGUUGACCUCAGAUCAGGUAGGAAUACCCGCUGAACUUAAGCAUAUCAAUAAGCGGAGGA
rnacentral:misc_RNA from 1 species